AUUUGAUGGCGACCGGCAAACGGGUGCGGAACACGUACACAACCUUCCUAUAAGUGGGGAAUAGCCCAGAGAAAUUUGGAUUAAUACCCCGUAACAUAAUGAUGUGGCAUCACAUUAUUAUUAUAGCUACGGCGCUUAUUGAUGGGUGUGCGGCUGAUUAGAUAGUUGGCGGGGUAACGGCCCACCAAGUCUACGAUCAGUAGCUGAUGUGAGAGCAUGAUCAGCCACACGGGCACUGAGACACGGGCCCGACUCCUACGGGAGGCAGCAGUAAGGAAUAUUGGUCAAUGGACGCAAGUCUGAACCAGCCAUGCCGCGUGAAGGAUUAAGGUCCUCUGGAUUGUAAACUUCUUUUAUCUGGGACGAAAAAAGGCUAUUCUUAGUCACUUGACGGUACCAGAUGAAUAAGCACCGGCUAACUCCGUGCCAGCAGCCGCGGUAAUACGGAGGGUGCAAGCGUUAUCCGGAUUCACUGGGUUUAAAGGGUGCGUAGGCGGGCAGGUAAGUCAGUGGUGAAAUCCUGGAGCUUAACUCCAGAACUGCCAUUGAUACUAUCUGUCUUGAAUAUUGUGGAGGUAAGCGGAAUAUGUCAUGUAGCGGUGAAAUGCUUAGAUAUGACAUAGAACACCUAUUGCGAAGGCAGCUUACUACGCAUAUAUUGACGCUGAGGCACGAAAGCGUGGGGAUCAAACAGGAUUAGAUACCCUGGUAGUC
rnacentral:rRNA from 1 species